GACGAACGCUGGCGGCGUGCUUAACACAUGCAAGUCGAACGGAAAGGCCCUGCUUUUGUGGGGUGCUCGAGUGGCGCACGGGUGAGUAACACGUGAGUAACCUGCCCCUGUCUUUGGGAUAACUUCAGGAAACUGGGGCUAAUACCGGAGAGGAGCUCCUGCUGCACAGUGUGCGUUGGUAAGAUUCGGUGGUUCGGGAUGUUCUCGCGGCUUAUCAGCCUGUUGGUGGGGUAGUUGCUUACCAAGGCUUUGACGGGUAGCCGGCCUGAGAGGGUUACCGGCGACAUUGGGACUGAGAGACGGACCAGACUGCUACGGGAGGCAGUAGUGGGGAAUAUUACAGAAUGGGCGGAAGCGUGAUGCAGAAACGCCGCGUGCGGGAUGACGGCCUUCGGGUUGUAAACCACUUUGGCAGGUGACGAAGCGUGAGUGACGGUAAUGGGUAAAGAAGCACCGGCUAACUACGUG
rnacentral:rRNA from 1 species